UUUCUGGGCUGGAUUUUUCAAUGCUUGUUUCGUUUGGUUGCCAAGAAAACGGAGGAAAAUUCGUGACGGAAAAAAGAAUCCAAUAAUACUUCACUCACGAGCCGCAAAUUAACUGCAGUCCGUCGCUUUCCGGGCAGCCAAGCAGAGAACUAGUGUUGCUGUUAUUUUCUCUUUCCUUUGUGGCUAAAGCGAGUGGUAAAGUGCUAUGAAAUUUUACUGGCGGGAUUUUAUUCUUCUGGACUAAUAAGCUUCCACAAUACAGCAGCAUUUGGGCAGUUCUUUAGCAUUUAAAGCGGGCAAUGUGAAAAUCAGCACCUUCAGUGUAAUGAUCCUGGCAGAUUUCUGACAGCAUCAUUCAAAUUAAGUGGAAAUUUAAGACAGCUGUUUUCAUUAAAUUUUUUUAAAAAAUGAUGGUUGCCCUAGAGUCCUAGCUAGUAAUAAAAUUCGUUUAUAAAAGAAAUAAAAUAAAUAAACUGGGCAUUCUGAAAAUCGAACUCGGGGCAGUUCCAAUCUUGCAUGCCCUGUAAUUUCUUGCUUAUUCUUUUUAUGGUUAUCCAAUAAUUUCAACCACAUUUUGUCUGUCUAAAAAAUGUUGGGUGGUUGGGGCAUUCCGAGAAUCGAACUCGGGACCUCUCGCACCCGAAGCGAGAAUCAUACCACUAGACCAAAUGCCCAGUUUAUGUAGGCUUAAAACAAAAAUUAUAUUAUUUAUUUUGAUGCCCCAUCACGAUGUAAUAUAUGUAUGUAUAUGGACGAGUUAUAUUAACGAUGUAAUAAAGACAUGACGAUUAUUCCUUGCCUGUUAAUAAAAAUAAUUGUAAUAAUAAUAAAAAUGUAUA